rnacentral:rRNA from 1 species
UACAGAGGAUGCAAGCGUUAUCCGGAAUGAUUGGGCGUAAAGCGUCUGUAGGUGGCUUUUUAAGUCCGCCGUCAAAUCCCCAGGGCUCAACUCUGGACAGGCGGUGGAAACUACCAAGCUGGAGUACGGUAGGGGCAGAGGGAAUUUCCGGGUGGAGCGGUGAAAAUGCGUAGAGAUCGGAAAGAACACCAACGGCGAAAGCAACUCUGCUGGGCCGACACUGACACUGAGAGACGAAAGCUAGGGGAGCGAAUGGG